rnacentral:rRNA from 1 species
GUAAUAAUCCUGUAGUCGAAAAUGUUGUCUCUCUUGAGUGGAUCCUGAGUACGACGGAGCACGUGAAAUUCCGUCGGAAUCUGGGAGGACCAUCUCCUAAGGCUAAAUACUCUCUAGUGACCGAUAGUGAACCAGUACCGUGAGGGAAAGGUGAAAAGCACCCCGGAAGGGGAGUGAAAUAGAACCUGAAACCGUGUGCUUACAAGUAGUCAGAGCCCGUUAAUGGGUGAUGGCGUGCCUUUUGUAGAAUGAACCGGCGAGUUACGAUUUGAUGCAAGGUUAAGCAGUAAAUGUGGAGCCGUAGCGAAAGCGAGUCUGAAUAGGGCGUUUAGUAUUUGGUCGUAGACCCGAAACCAGGUGAUCUACCCUUGGUCAGGUUGAAGUUCAGGUAACACUGAAUGGAGGACCGAACCGACUUACGUUGAAAAGUGAGCGGAUGAACUGAGGGUAGCGGAGAAAUUCCAAUCGAACCUGGAGAUAGCUGGUUCUCUCCGAAAUAGCUUUAGGGCUAGCCUCAAGUGAUGAUUAUUGGAGGU